GGGCUUAUGAUGAUAUAAUACAAAAUAUCUUAGCGGAUUUCAGUGAGAUAAUUAUCAAUGAUCUGAUUGUUACACACCCUGAAGCCC